CCAUGCUUUCUCUUAGCCAUAAUUAGCAGGAUUAAAAAUGAUUGUACUGUACAAUGAGUUGUUGAAAUUGUAAGCCUUAGUAACCAUCUUUAGCUUUACUCUAGUACUGUUUAGGAAAAAAUUAUUGACAUAUGCCUUUAUUUUUAUGCCAAUUAUUUUGUGGACAAAAUCAGAAGAAUUUAAGUGACUUGUUGCAGAUUAUGAAGCUUCAGUGGGUAAGUCAGAACUGAAAUUUUGAUAUCCUGGAUUCAUAUUCUUGUGCUCUUUGAUAAAAUUCAUGGCUUUCAAAAUAAACACUCCCUUUAGGGCGCUUAAAAUGAAACUAUGUAUUUUUACUAAUUAGACUUUCAUUUUUUUGGACAUUUUACAAUUCUUUGAACUUAAAAGAUUUUUCCAUGGUCAUAGUUUCUCAUUAAGUCAAUGCAACUGCUAAAAAUCUCACUUUGCUGUUAAAUACUAAUAAUACAGGUUUUAUCAGAUUUCCUUUCACAUUUACAUAACCUUCAUGAUUCACUCAUAACUCUUUCUGUGUAAGUGCUUAAGUGACCCCCUCACUAGUGAAAAUAAAUGUUCUAUAUCACUGAUUAUAUGUAUAUUCUCUAUAUGAUAUAUUUUUUUAAGGAAAAGAAACCCCAUGUGUCCGGAUGAACAAUAUUAUCCUAGUGCAAAGCACAUAUAAAGUGGCUUGUUCUAUUCUGAAAAUCUGGCAUUUACAGGAACAAAACUUUUAGAGUGGCUGGUCAUUGUUUUACCUUCUUUUGGUACUUGAGCAUCUUUCUGUGGUUUUGUAAAUGUGUGUCAUUUUGUAAGAAUUUCUUGUUGAUUCUGUGUUAAUUGGUGUCCACCUUGUGAUAUCCUCAGCUGACCAUAGUAAUUUAGUCUGGGUAUGGGGUGUCUGCUUUGAAAUGCCUUACUAGAGUGUAGCAGACUCUGCUCUAAAGCAUUCCAUGUGUCUGCUAAGACAAUAAGUUGCCUCUCUCUGAUGUAUGCUCUAGAUCCAGAAGCAAAACUAAUUUUGCUUUCACUGUUAAUGUUGCAUUUUAGCUCAUUGUUUUAAAUUAGAGAAUAAAAUCGUGGAGCCGAGGGAAACUUUAUAACCCUUCAUUUAAUGGCAUGGCAAACUUUUAAAAUUGCUUUUACUGUUUCCCUAGAAUGACGUUUCUGAUAAAGGACAUAGCUGAAAAAUGCCUGCCAGAACUGUAUGAAAUUGGGUUUGUUUCCUACAAUUUCCCCUAAAUGUCAUACAGGGAUUUAACAUCUGUGUAUGCUGUUGGGGCUUUGUGCCAGUCAUCACUUUGGAAAUCUGUGUUCUGAGGCUACAUAAAUGACAAAAAUGUCUUGGGAUUGAAGCCAAUCAACUGUGAACUGUGAAAUUGAAAUUGCUCUUUUGGUUUUAUUUUCUUAAGCAUAUUGCAUAGAGAAUCCUGAAAGUUAUUUAAAAUUUACACUGCUUCUGUUGAUGGCUCAUUUUGGCUGUGUAUCCUCAUUUAUGUACUGAUUUCUGAUAAAGGCUUGACGUUAUUAUAGCAGUCAUUUUGUGUUCAACUUAAUAAAAGAGUUUCUGAGUCUUGUCUGCAAAUC
rnacentral:lncRNA from 1 species